GUUGCUAGUGUAGCUUAAUUAAAGCAUAACACUGAAGAUGUUAAGAUGGGCCCUAGAAAGCCCCGCGGGCA
rnacentral:tRNA from 1 species